CUUCGAGUUAAUCUCAGCAUCGGGAUAGCCUCAUUUGCUUCAAUAUUCUGGAAUCUGUUGCAUCAUUUUCCGUUUCUCUCGCAACCGACAUUUCUAGGCUCAGCCUGCCUCUGCCACUGAGGGGAUAGUCCUAGGAAAGGGCUCCUUUUCUGCAUUAAAACUGGAAACAAACUGCAGUUGGCAAGAAUACCGGGGCAGAAAACUGAAACGACUCUGCACUGCUUCUAAGACACAAAUACACCCCCUCUGCCCUGCUGUCAGCACGCCUGCAUUCCAAGCUGUUCUCAUGGGGAUGGUGUUGGAGCUGUGUCCAGCCUCCCAGGACAUCUGGACUGAUUCCCAUCGUGGCCAGUGGCACAAGGGAUGGACUGCUGUCCAGGAUACACUCCACGACAGUGAGACCACACGUUACGGAAACAUCUUUUGGGGAGAUGUUUCAUCACCCUCCCAAACUGGGACCUUUAGUUUCAUCAGGUUCAUGGAGAAAGGAACUCAGUUAGACUCUGGUUGAAAAGGAGGACUUGCUUUCUACUUUUCAACAGACAUCACAGUAUUACGGAAAGGUAAUGUGCUUAGGAGUCAGAGGGAAGUUCAAAGUGCAAACAUGGGACAAAACAAAACACCAAAAUAACUCCCGAGUUUCUGCUUCCAGUUUUCUAGAUGGUAAUACCCCAAAACAUUAAGUCACCAUUCCUGAAUCCAUCAGGAAAUCACCUCACGCCAUAUCUGGCACAAAGUAAAUCAUCAAUGAACAUCAGCGUCCUUCAUAAAGCCCUCAAGUGCACAUGAUAGAGAUCCAUUCCAGACGCAUAUUUAAGCAAUUUGCUACUUGGCCUGUUGGCAGCUAUUAGGUCCAAAAGAGAAACCACUCUGUGCUGACAAUUAGGGGAACAAAGACUUUGAGGUAGAAUCUCCCUGUUCCAAAAAAUACUAAUUAUCAGCCACCACUUCCUAAUUUUGAAAACAGAUCGGCAGGCCAGAUGGGUUUCUUAGAUGUAUCUUUAUGGGUUGGCAUGGUGGAUACUGUGGAUACACUCCCUUCGCACACAGUCUAACCCCCUCACACAUGCUUUCCUCUAAUUCAGUUUGCAAGGCUAACCACCACAUUUCCCAGAUUCCUUAAAGUUGGCAUUUUAUGCAUGAUAUAAAUUGCAAUAAUCAGAUGCAUCAUAUGAGACUUAAAGUCAAGUUACAUGGCAUCUCACAUUGGGUUCCCUGAAAACACAUUCUUAGGCAAAGAUUUGCAUACAGUAGAUUUAUCAGGGAGUGUUUCAAGUACAACAAGUACAACACCUGGAAGGAAAAGAAGGAAGCAGGAUGACAGAGUUGGAAAAAGUUGAACUGCAAUGUCGUUGCAAAAGAGACUUCAACCAACACCACAGGGUGCUCUGUGCUGGGAAAGCUAUUCAGAGGUGUCCCCAGUGGAGGCAGAUAGGACCAGUAUAUUAUAUCAUGUAUCUAUGGGUCACUGUAUGCGGGCUGCACCCCAGGACAAGCCAUACCUUGGACAAAGAUGGGCAGAACCACCAGCAGUCAACUCUCCUGGAAGCUGGGAGAAUGAGUGCCUGGAUCUUGAAGGUGCAAUGUAGAUAGCCUGCCAAAGAUCCCCAAGGCCCACUGUGGAGCACCCCCUUUGCUGCUCAGACCCACUUGCUUAUCCCAUAUUUACCCCAUCAGCGUCUCCAGGAUUCUAGUGGGCCUCAUUUCCUGAGCAAAUUUAUAAAAGAGGUUGAUCACA